rnacentral:tRNA from 1 species
GCCCUGGUGGCACAAGGGUUAAGCUCUCGGCUGCUAACUGAAAAGUUGGUGGUUCAAACCCACCCCGCAGCU